rnacentral:rRNA from 1 species
CCUACGGGAGGCAGCAGUGGGGAAUAUUGGGCAAUGGGCGCAAGCCUGACCCAGCAACGCCGCGUGAAGGAAGAAGGCUUUCGGGUUGUAAACUUCUUUUCUCAGGGACGAAGCAAGUGACGGUACCUGAGGACUAAGCCACGGCUAACUACGUGCCAGCAGCCGCAGUAAUACGUAGGUGGCAAGCGUUAUCCGGAUUUACUGGGUGUAAAGGGCGUGUAGGCGGGAAAGCAAGUCAGAUGUGAAAACCAUGGGCUCAACCUGUGGCCUGCAUUUGAAACUGUUUUUCUUGAGUACUGGAGAGGCAGACGGAAUUCCUAGUGUAGCGGUGAAAUGCGUAGAUAUUAGGAGGAACACCAGUGGCGAAGGCGGUCUGCUGGACAGCAACUGACGCUGAGGCGCGAAAGCGUGGGGAGCAAACAGGAUUAGAUACCCGGGUAGUC